rnacentral:misc_RNA from 1 species
CGACGCUUAGGACGUUCGUCAUCGAAGAGAACAAAAAAAACAAGUUAUGAAACAGAAAAUAACUCAACUAGUAUAAACAAUACUACUGAAUUGAUAGGUCUAUGAAGUAAAAAGAGUGAACAAAAAACAGGGUGUAAGUCUGAAUCAAAAAUGUGAACAAUAAACAAGCCUAAGAGGGAGAUAAGAGUCUUUGAGAAAGAGUUAGAGGAGCUAUGUUCCGCUUACAAUUUGUCUUCAUAAUCAGAGAGUGGAGUCAUUUGUAGCUUCAAACCUUUUCUCUUCCUGAUAUCAGCUACCAAUGUCGCAGCCUGUGAGCCAGUCUCAAGCGGAUCAGAAGACAUCAUGUCCCAAUGGUCAAACACACACUGAGGAAAGGCUUGUCCUGAGGUUGCAGCCCUUAGCUGACCUGAGAAACCAAAUGACUCGACCACAGGAAGGUAGGCUUUGAUGUUGUAGAGAGGCGUUCCUGGCCUUUGCAUUUCUUCAAACACAUGUCCACGCUUCUGAUUCAACACACUGUAGAUUCCUCCUAAAGCUCCCUCAGGUGCUUGUAUCUCGACCAUGUAAACCGGCUCAAGAAGUCUAGGCUUGGCCGUGAGUUGUGAUGCAUAGAUGGCUCUUCUUGCUGUUGAGAUCAUCUGACCACAUCCUCUGUGGAUUGCAUCAGCAUGGAGCACAACAUCACACACCUCAUAACAGACCCCUCUCAUGUUUUCCUCUGCUAAAGGACCUUCCUUUGAAGCCCAUUGGAACCCAGCAACCACUGAGUCCUUGAUUUCAUUCAAGUACUGCACUCCCUUACACAUGUCAACCACCAUGUUGGGCCCUGUGGUGUCAGGUCCAAACGCCCAGAUUUUCUUGGCAAGAUCCUUGUCCCACCCAAACUCUUCUGCAAGAAUCUUGGAUCGGAUCUUGGGGUCAUCAGAUGGACCGAUGCGGCCUUCAUCAAUGGCCUCUGCUAGACCAUCCUCCAUUGGUCUGGCUUCCAUGUAAAGACGGUUGUGUUUGUUUGGGGACUUACUCAUCACAGUCCGGCAAGACCUCUCAAAGACUGUCUCUCGUAACGAAACAACAGGAUCUGACACUAUGAUAUCCGCACCACCCAUAAAAUCUUGAAGAUCCUUGACACAAAUUUCAAUGUGGAGUUCUCCAGCACCUGCAACAAUGUGCUCACCAGACUCUUCCAUUGUGCAUAGAACCAUAGGGUCAGACUUGGCCAGCCUCUUAAGACCUUCUACAAGCUUGGGAAGGUCAGACGCUAGCUUGCAUUUCACAGCAACACGAACAACGGGAGAGACAGAAAACUUCAUGGCACGAAGCGGGUGUGCGUCCACUUCCUUCUAAUUCGUCAAGGGACAUAGUUAGGACCCAUGAUCCUGACUUUCAUACCAGUAGAAACCGUACCAGAAAAGACACGACCGAAGGCAAAGAACCUGCCCUUGUCAGAUGCGGGAAUCAUCUUAGAGACGUAGAGCAUCAAAGGACCGUCUGGAUCACAGUUUCUGAUAGCUGCAGCAUACUUAUCAUCAAGGGGACCUUCAUACAAGUUCUCAACACGGUACCUCUGCGCAGUGUAGGGUGAUGGUAAGUGAAAGAUCAUCAUUUCAAGAAGAGCGGUACUCGCAGGAAGCCAUGCCUGCAUGACACGCUUCAUCAAAGGUUUACCCAUCAACUCUUUCUCAUCGGGCUUCAUCUGAAUACCAAGCUUCUCUAACAUCGGCCACAGCUUAUCCUUCUGAUCAUUCAUACAAGUGUUGAUCAUUAUCUUAAUGGGUUCAUAACAGAACUGAACAAACCCACGCUUGCAGGUCGGGGAGCCAGUUUUUGGUCGUCCAUUUUCUGGUUGCAGAAUCAAAGAAGUUCUCACCCCACAGCCUCUCCAUCAUUUUAGAUUCAGAGACACCAAACUUGGAAGCAUACAUCUUAGCAAAAUUGGUGAGAGUGAAAGCCCAUCCGUGGAGACCAGCAGAGAAAGCUACUGUCCCCUUUUCAGGGUAAACCUGAACAUCACCGAGGAGAGGAUCCUCAUGCGUGGCCAUGAUGACAUUAGCAUUCUCAAUGACCCUCUGGAAAUUCUGAUACGCCUCCUCACCAUCAACCUUAAGCUCAAGGAAACACCUGUCCAUCUUGUUGACAGUCAAAACAGGCCUAAUCCUUUCACCAAGAGAUUGCCUGAGCACAGUCUCAGUCUGCACACAAACACCUUCAAUGCAGUCAACAACCACAAGAGCACCAUCAGUGAUACGGAGAGCAGCUGUGACCUCUGAAGAAAAGUCAACGUGUCCAGGAGAGUCAAUGAGGUUGAUCAGGUACUCAUUGCCAUCUCUAGCUCCGGUGAAACUCUUCAGAGACGCAUCAGUCAUCUCAUAGUAGAGAGAGAUACCAGUGGACUUGAUGGUGAUACCACGUUCUGCCUCAUCAGCACGAGUAUCAGUCAUACGCACAUCACCCGCAGUUUCUUGAGCAAUGAUACCAGCAGCAGCAACAAGUGAAUCCGUAAGUGUAGAUUUCCCUAUCAUUAAAAGAUCACAAAACUUUUAUUUAGUAUCAAGUUUGAUAGAAAAAACACAUGCUUAGCAAACAUAUGUAUAAAAGAGCAAAUAUUUCAUCAACAAAAAAGAAACAG